rnacentral:rRNA from 1 species
AGAGUUUGAUCCUGGCUCAGGAUGAACGCUGGCGGUGUGUCUAAUACAUGCAAGUCGAAUGGGUUUAGACCCAUGGCGAACGGCAGAAUAACGCGUUGGUAACUGCCCCGCACUCAGGGAUAACCUGUCGAAAGACGGGCUAAUACCGGAUGGUUCCGCAAGGAUAAAGCUUUUGCGGUGCGGGAGGUGCCUGCGUCCUAUCAGCUAGUUGGUGAGGUAACGGCUCACCAAGGCGAUGACGGGUAGCUGGUCUGAGAGGACGACCAGCCUGAAUGGGACUGAGAUACGGCCCAUACUCCUACGGGAGGCAGCAGUAGGGAAUAUUCCGCAAUGGACGAAAGUCUGACGGAGCGUCACCGCGUGGUUGAUGAAGCCCUUCGGGGUGUAAAGACCUUUUCUGGGGGAAGAAUUCUGACGGUACCCCAGGAAUAAGCACCGGCAAACUCUGUGCCAGCAGUCGCGGUAAUACAGAGGGUGCAAGCGUUAUCCGGAAUUAUUGGGCGUAAAGGGUCCGUAGGCGGCGGGUUAAGUUGGAUAUUAAAUCUUGAGGCUCAACUUCAAGGCUGUGUCCAAAACUAACCUGCUAGAGUUUUUCAGAGGUAUGCGGAAUUCUGUGUGUAGGGGUAAAAUCCGUUGAUAUACAGAGGAACACCAAAAGCGAAGGCAGCAUACUGGGAAAAUACUGACGCUCAGGGACGAAAGCGUGGGGAUCGAAAAGGAUUAGAUACCCUUGUAGUCCACGCUGUAAACUAUGGAUACUCGGUGUUGGGGUGCUCGACGCCUCAGUGCCUAAGCAAACGCAUUAAGUAUCCCGCCUGGGAAGUACGGUCGCAAGAUUAAAACUCAAAGGAAUAGACGGGGACCCACACAAGCGGUGGUUCAUGGGGUUUAAUUCGAUAAUAAGCGAGGAACCUUACCAAGACUUGACAUUUUAGAGAAUUCGCCGGAAACGGUGAAGUGCCUUUGGGAGCUCUAUAACAGGUGCUGCAUGGUUGUCGUCAGCUCGUGCCUUGAGGUGUUCGGUUAAGUCCGUAAACGAGCGCAACCCAUAUCAUUAGUUGCAUAUUUCUAAUGAGACUGCCUCGCACAACGAGGAGGAAGGUAUGGAUGACGUCAAAUCAGCAUGGCCCUUAUGUCUUGGGCGACACCCGUGAUACAAUGGCCGGUACAACGAGAAGCAAUAUCGCAAGAUGGAGCAAAUCUUUAAAACCGGUCUAAGUUCGGAUUGAGGGCUGCAACUCGCCCUCAUGAAGUUGGAAUCGCUAGUAAACGCGUAUCAGCCACGGCGCGUUGAAUAUGUUCCUGGGUCUUGUACUCACCGCCCGUCACAUCAUGAAAGGUGGGGGCAUCUGAAGCACCCUCGUUAAUAGGGGGUACCACGGUGAAACCACUGAUUGGGAUGAAGUCGUAACAAGGUA